rnacentral:rRNA from 1 species
AUGAGCCGCCGCGCCGUCCCCGCUGGCAGACGCAUCUUGGAGCAGAACAUCAAGGCCCGGUACCGCGCUGGCAACAUUGGCACCGAGGAUGCACUCCACCUGUUUGACGAAUUGCUCCCGGUUGCUCGGCCCUCCUCAGUUCCUGCCAUCAACUGCCUCCUCAUUGUCGUCGGUCGUGAUUGCCCUGCACUCGCCGUCUCCCUCUUCAACCGCAUUGCAAGAACCAAGGUGGCACCCCAGAAUAUCACCUACGGCAUUCUAGUCGACUGCUGCUGCCUUGCGGGCCGCUUGGACCUUGGUUUCGCUGCCAUGGGCCACAUCAUUAAGACGGGAUUUGCGGCAGGAUCCGUUAUCUCUUUCAGCCACCUGCUCAGGGCCGUCUGUGCGGAGAAGAAGACCAGCUACGGAAUGGACAUCGUGCUCCGAAUUAUGCCUGAGCUUAACUGCACGCCGGAUGUUUACUCCUACAGCAUUCUUUUCAAGGGUCUCUGCAACGAGAAGAGAAGCCAAGAGGCUCUCGAGCUGAUUCACGUGAUGGUUGAGCACGGAGGUAGCUGCCAACCUAAUCUGGUCUCCUACAGCACCGUAAUUGAUGGCUUGUUGAAAGAGGGCGAGGUGGGCAAAGCUUACAGCCUAUUUUGUGAAAUGGUACACAGGGGGAUUUCGCCAGAUAUUGUGACCUACAACUCAAUCAUCUCUGGCAUGUGCAAGGUCCAUGCGAUGGACAAGGCUGAGAAGGUUCUUCAACAAAUGUUUGAUAGAGAAAUUCUGCCAGAUACUACCACAUAUACUAGCCUAAUACAUGGAUAUUAUUCAUCAGGACAAUGCAAAGAGGUGGAACGGGUUUUCGAGCACAUGUCUAUAAACGGUGUUCAACCAAAUAUGAUAACUUACAAUAUACAGAUGGAUUAUCUUUGCAAGAGCGGAAGAUGCGCAGAAGCUAGGAAGAUUUUUGAUUCUAUGGUCAGUUUGGGCCAAAAACCGUCUGUUACUACCUAUAGUAUUCUGCUUCAUGGUUAUGCUAUGGAAAAAUCAUUUCAUGAUAUGCAUUGUCUCAUUGAUUUGAUGGUAGAAAAUGGUAUCUCACCAGAUCAUUAUGUCUACAACAUGCUCAUAUCUGCAUGUCCUAAAGAAGAAAUGUUUGGUGAGGUAAUGCAUAUAUUUACAAAAAUGCGGCAGCAAGGAUUGAACCCUAAUGUUGCUAACUAUGGAGCGGUAAUAAACUUGCUUUCCAGUGCUGGCAAAAUGGAUGAUGCUAUGUGCCAAUUCAAUCAAAUGAUAACCGAAGGAUUAGCUCCUGAUAUCGUAAUUUUCAACACCCUUAUUAGUGGUUUUUGUACUUGUGGCAAAUGGGAGAAGGUUCAUGAGCUAUUUUCUGAAAUGUUGAAUCGCGGCAUCUAUCCUGAUAUCGUGUCCUUCACCAUACUUAUGGACCGCCUUUGCAAAAGUGGAAGGGUUAUCGAAGCCCAAGAUAUGUUUGACCUGAUGGUACGCAUCGGUGUUAAGCCUAACAUUCAUACUUAUGGCACAUUGAUGCAUGGGUACUUUUUCGUUAGAAAGGUGGAUGAAGUGAGGAAGUUACUUGGCAAUAUGCUCUCAACUGGCUUGAAACCAGAUGUUUUCACCUAUACCAUAUUGAUUGAUGGUUACUUUAAGAAUGGAAUGAUAGAUGACGCAUCAGCUGUUUUCACUGAGAUGUUGGAAAAGAAAGUUGAGCCUUCUGUCAUCACUUACAGAACAAUGCGGUAUGGCCUGUUAAAUUCUGGAAGGACUGUUGCUGCCACUAAACUAUAUCUCAGGAUGAUUGACAGUGGAAUACACGUGGAUAUUGCGGCCUACAACAUAAUUCUCAGAGGCCUUUGUAAAAAUAACUGUGUCGAUGGAGCGCUAAGAAUGUUUCAACACCUAUCUUCAACAAAUUAUCCGCUUGAGGUUGGGACUUACAAUAUUAUGAUUAGUGCGUUGGUUAAAGGUGGCAGAAAGGAAGAAGCCACAGAUUUGUUUGAUGAUAUGUUGGCCAAAGGAUUAGUGCCGGAUGCUGUUAUGUAUAGCUUAAUAAAAAAAGGAGUAGUCUGA